UACGUAGGGGGCGAGCGUUGUCCGGAAUCAUUGGGCGUAAAGCGCGUGUAGGCGGUCCGGUAAGUCCGCUGUGAAAGUCGGGGGCUCAACCCUCGGAUGCCGGUGGAUACUGUCGGGCUUGAGUACGGAAGAGGCGAGUGGAAUUCCUGGUGUAGCGGUGAAAUGCGCAGAUAUCAGGAGGAACACCAAUUGCGAAGGCAGCUCGCUGGGACGUUACUGACGCUGAGACGCGAAAGCUAGGGGAGCAAACGGG
rnacentral:rRNA from 1 species